AGUAGGCAACAGAUAACUCACAUAUGGGCCUCGCACGAGGUGAAAUCAAGUCACACAAGCAUUUUCCAUGCAAAGUGUCGGCAGUUCAAGGACUUAACCCAUUGGACAAGUACUUAAUUAGUCGCCGAGGACUCGAAGUGGCGGUUAUUUCCUUGGCGUGGCGUCCUCCCAACUUGGCUGCAUGCCACUUUAAGUUAAUUCUGUCAGGUUCAGGGAUCCGAACUCGAAUGUCGGCCUGACAUUUGAUUGCAGACUGCACCCAUGUAGCUUGACAACUGCAGUGCCAGCCAACAGGACUCGCAGGUCCUUUGACUUGAAAAAAGUCUUUCAAAGUUGUUUUGAUUUUGCAAUGGGUAUUUCAGAUUCGUCCAACUUCUUGUGGAGUUUUUUUUUAUUCAGCGGCGAACUUAGCUAAGAAUCUUUUGAAAGCUAAAUGAAUAAAAAAAUUGUAUUCUUAAAAUUCGUUGUAUAACGAAAAUC
rnacentral:sRNA from 1 species